GGGGUCAUGGGCUAAUCUGGUAGACUGGAGCCUUCGGGAGGCUUUGAUCUGAGUUCAAAUCUCAGUGACCCCA
rnacentral:tRNA from 1 species